rnacentral:rRNA from 1 species
CCUACGGGUGGCAGCAGUGGGGAAUUUUGGACAAUGGGGGCAACCCUGAUCCAGCCAUGCCGCGUGAGUGAAGCAGGCCUUCGGGUUGUAAAGCUCUUUCGGCCGGGAAGAAAUCGCUCAAGCUAAUACCUUGGGUGGAUGACGGUACCGGAAGAAGAAGCACCGGCUAACUACGUGCCAGCAGCCGCGGUAAUACGUAGGGUACGAGCGUUAAUCGGAGCUACUGGGCGUAGAGCGUUCGCAGGCGUCGGAAAUCCCCGGGCUUAACCUGGGAACUGCGGUUGUGACUGUGGUGCUCGAGUGCGGCAGAGGGGGGUGGAAUUCCACGUGUAGCAGUGAAAUGCGUAGAGAUGUGGAGGAACACCGAUGGCGAAGGCAGCCCCCUGGGUCGACACUGACGCUCAUGCACGAAAGCGUGGGGAGCAAACAGGAUUAGAUACCCUGGUAGUC